CGCCUGUUUAUCAAAAACAUGUCUGUGUGAAAUUAAUUAUAAAGUCUAGCCUGCCCACUGAUUGAUUUAAAGGGCCGCGGUAAUUUGACCGUGCGAAGGUAGCAUAGUCAGUAGUCUUUUAAUUGAAGGCUUGAAUGAAUGGUUGGACGAGGGAUAAGCUGUCUCCUUUGCGUAUUUUGAAUUUAACUUUUAAGUGAAAAGGCUUAAAUUAUUUAGUGGGACGAUAAGACCCUAUAAAACUUAAUAUGAGCUGAGUUUGAUUUGUGAUGUGGGUGAAAAAUAGUUUUACUUGGUUCGUAUUUCGUUGGGGAGAUGAGGAUAUAAGAUGUAACUGUCCAUAGAAUUUAAUAGUGUUAAUUAGUGUUUGAUCCUUCUGUGAGGAUUAAGAGAAUAAGUUACUUUAGGGAUAACAGCGUAAUUUUCUUUGAGAGUUCUUAUCGACAAGAGUAGUUGCGACCUCGAUGUUGAAUUAAAAUUUCAGCUAGGUGUAGCCGCUUAGCUGGUGGGUCUGUUCGACCUUUAAAAUUUUACGUGAUCUGAGUUCAGACCRG
rnacentral:rRNA from 1 species